rnacentral:other from 1 species
GACCGGAGGGAACGCGGCGCCAGCAGCAUCUCACCUACCCUCCUUGACAUCUCCUCCCCGUGGUUCCAGCCAGACCCUAGAAGUCAGACUUGCAGACCAACAGGAGGACUUCCAGCUUUUCCUUUCCAAGAGGUCCCCAGUCCCCGGCUGCCCUCUUCCAGCCCCUACGGCCAGCUCAAGGAGGCACCAACGCUCUGAGGCUGCCGCACGGUGCAGCGUCGAGCAUCCCUGCCGAGGUCCUUUCUGCCCUCUGUCCCGCCUCACCCCGCUCCAUCACACCAGCCGGCCCUCUUUGCCUCCCCUUCCCAGAAUCGUUAAGCGCUCGGAUCCCACCAGUGCCUGGUACCAACCUCGCCCCACCCCGUCUCCGUACCUUCCCACGCCCCGGUGUCCCCCGCUGCCAUG